UACGUAGGGUGCAAGCGUUAUCCGGAAUUAUUGGGCGUAAAGAGCUCGUAGGCGGUUUGUCGCGUCUGCUGUGAAAACCUAAGGCUCAACCUUGGGCUUGCAGUGGGUACGGGCAGACUAGAGUGCGGUAGGGGUGACUGGAAUUCCUGGUGUAGCGGUGGAAUGCGCAGAUAUCAGGAGGAACACCGAUGGCGAAGGCAGGUCACUGGGCCGCAACUGACGCU
rnacentral:rRNA from 1 species